AAGCAUGUGUGUGCAAGAGGAAUCGUGACUUAGAUAAGAGGGAGGACAUAUCAUCCACUUUGUAUCACAAGAGAAUAAAGUAAAAAGAGGAAAAUUUAAAAAGGGAAAGAGGGGUCCACCAAAGAAGAAGAAUAACCCCACACUUGAUGCAGCCAAGGAUAACAACGACCCUGACAAAGUGAGAUGUUUCUUCUGUAAAAAGAAGGGACACCUCCAGAAAGAUUGUCAAAAGCGAAAGAAUUGGUUCGAAUCAAGAAGUAAUAAUUUAACCUCCGUAUGUUUUCAUACCAAUCUUGUCGAUGUUCCUUUAAAUAGUUGAUGGAUUGACUCAGAAGAAUAUUUAUAUGGGAAACCGGUUGGAGUCUGAAGUACGAGCAAUCGGCACCUGCAGACUCAUUUUGAAAACUGACUUUCAAUUGGACCUAAAAAAUAUUUUAUUCGUACCAUCUAUAUAAAGAAAUCUUAUCUCUUUAUCUAGAUUGGACAAACAAGGCUUUAACUUUCAUUUUGCAAACAAUCAUCUUCAUUUAUAUAAGGAUAAUAUUUUAGUUGGUA